rnacentral:rRNA from 1 species
UAUGUGAUCGUCUCUCGCAUAUCAAUAAGCGGAGGAAAAGAAACUAACAAGGAUUCCCCUAGUAACGGCGAGUGAAGCGGGAAGAGCUCAAAUUUGAAAUCUUAAAGGGUUUCCCUUUACGAAUUGUAGUUUAAAGAAGUGUUUUCUGUUGAGGUUUUGGUAAAAGUUCUUUGGAAUAGGACAUCAUAGAGGGUGAGAAUCCCGUAUUUGACCUUUACUUUCAACUUUGUGAUACACUUUCAAAGAGUCGGAUUGUUUGGGAAUGCAGUCCAAAAUGGGUGGUAAAUUUCAUCUAAAGCUAAAUAUUGGCGAGAGACCGAUAGCGAACAAGUACCGUGAGGGAAAGAUGAAAAGAACUUUGAAAAGAGAGUUAAACAGUACGUGAAAUUGUCAAAAGGGAAGCGUUUGACACCAGUGUUGUUUUUCUGAAAAUCAAUUAAAGAACUGUUUAUGCUAAGUUGUUUAGACUUUAUCAGCUAUCUGUUUAGUUUUGAGCUUUUCUUUAAUGCACUUUUCAGUUAACAAGUCGACAUCAAUUUCUUUUGCUGUAAAAAAGCUUGAGGAAGGUGGCUUGAGAUUCGUCUUAAGUGUUUAUAGCCUCUUGCCUAUGCAGUCGGAGAGAUUGAGGUCUGCAGCGUAGAUCCUUCGGGGCUAAAUGCAUUUGUGCUAAGUUAUAACAUUUUAUAGACAACUUGUUGACUAUGAUUUGUCUUGUAGCUUACUCGCUUAUGUUAUUUUACCUACGCUUAGGAUGUUGAGUAGCGACAUACGCAC